GACGAACCGUGCGAACGUUAUUCGGAAUCACUGGGCUUAAAGGGUGCGUAGGCUGGUUGCCAAGUCUGUGGUGAAAUCCUCCGGCUUAACCGGAGAACUGCCGUGGAUACUGGCGACCUCGAGUGGGGUAGGGGCUUGCGGAACUGUGCGUGGAGCGGUGAAAUGCGUUGAUAUGCACAGGAACUCCGGUGGCGAAGGCGGCGAGCUGGACCCUAACUGACGCUGAGGCACGAAAGCCAGGGGAGCAAACAGG
rnacentral:rRNA from 1 species